GUGAUGAAUAUUGGUCAAUGGGCGGGAGCCUGAACCAGCCAAGUCGCGUGAAGGAAGAAGGAUCUAUGGUUCGUAAACUUCUUUUGCAGGGGAAUAAAGUGCAGGACGUGUCCUGUUUUGUAUGUACCCUGAGAAUAAGGAUCGGCUAACUCCGUGCCAGCAGCCGCGGUAAUACGGAGGAUCCGAGCGUUAUCCGGAUUUAUUGGGUUUAAAGGGUGCGUAGGUGGUUUGAUAAGUCAGCGGUGAAAGUUUGCAGCUUAACUGUAAAAAUGCCGUUGAAACUGUCGGACUUGAGUGUAAAUGAGGUAGGCGGAAUGCGUGGUGUAGCGGUGAAAUGCAUAGAUAUCACGCAGAACUCCGAUUGCGAAGGCAGCUUACUAAGCUACAACUGACACUGAAGCACGAAAGCGUGGGGAUCAAACAGGAUUAGAAACCCGAGUAGUCC
rnacentral:rRNA from 1 species